GUAGCAGCAGAGUAGGUGAGCUCAGUGUGUUGGAGUUUAGAAAGGACUGCAUGGACUGUUUGACUAACAUCAUCCAGAAAAUGCAAGAUAAGAGCCCACUGAAGUACACGGUUGUGAGGCAGGUGGCAUGUUUGGACCCAGCAAACAUGUUCUCAGACCCUAAUUUGUGCCAGGAAAGAAUGAAGCGACUUGUACAUAGGUUUCUGCAAGACCACCAGCUGCCAGGAGGCAUCUCUGCUGGUGAUGUAAUUGUCCAGCAGUUUGGAAACUUUUUGUCUCUGGAGGCAAAAUCUGAGUCAUUGUCUUUGUUCCAACCCAUGAAGACAAGGCUGGAUGUUUUCCUGCAUGGUCUCCUCUGUCAGUCUUACCCUGAGCUCUGGACUUUCUGCAAGAAACUACUGCUCCUCUCCCAUGGCCAAGCAACAGUGGAGAGGGGUUUUUCUGUGAACAAGGAGGUAGAGGCUGAUAAUAUGCAGGAGGACACAGUUGAUGCUCAGAGGAUGAUAUGUGACUAUGUUUCUGUCUGUGGGGGGGUUCUAAAAGUUCCUCUGACGAAGGAGAUCCUGGCAGCUGCAGCUUCUGCAAGAUCUCAGUAUCGGCUACACCUGGAUCAGGAAAAGAGAAAGCAGGAGAGCAAUGCACAAAGAGAAAAGAGAAAAGCUGCAGAGGACCUCCUUGAGCAGCUCAAAAAGAGGAAGAUGGUACUAGCUGAGGUGGCAAACAGCCUUGAUAAAGAAGCAGACAAACUGACAGAGCAAGCUGAGGGAGCUGAAAGAAGUCGGUGGUCUGAAGAACAUUAAGGCUGAGCUUCCUGACUGGCCAGUGAGCGAUGACACCGUCCUGCAUCUGGCGACGGCUGAAGCACUGACCACUGGAGCUGAAAGAAGUCGGUGGUCUGAAGAACAUUAAGGCUGAGCUUCCUGACUGGCCAGUGAGCGAUGACACCGUCCUGCAUCUGGCGACGGCUGAAGCACUGACCACUGGUGAGGUCAAAGUUGCAGCGCACCCAUUUGCUCUCUGCAGCUUCUGCCUCUCCUCUGCUCGUUCUGUUUCAGCUGAGGAGUUGAUUGGAUUGAUCUAAUAGUCAGAGCAGCCGUUUCUUGCUCAAGGGCAUGUUAGCAGGAUGGAUGAUUGCUGACAGUGCAGCUUGGAGCCGAGUCCUCUGGUGGAGCGAUGGCCUUCAUACUCAUAUUGCCACCCUGCUGCGGGAAUUGCAGAUCUGAUAGUUCACUUUUCUGUGUUAUACAUGUAACGAUCACAUCUGGAUCCCAUGGGACUGUAAAGCAGAUGCUGUUUUCUGCACAGUGGGUACAACUUGCACUAUGCAUGAAAUCAGAGAUUCUGGGUUGAGCAGAUUUUCAUGAAUGUCUUUUAUGUUUUCUCUUUUAUGAUCUUAAAGCAACUUGUGCAUCAGUGAGCCACUAUAAUUUACACCCUGGAUUUCCUUCAUCCAGUUUUAUGUCAACCUGCAAACGCAGGUAAACUAUACCACACAAAUGAGGCCACCUCAGUGAGUGUGAUUCUUCAUGACAUCUGCAUACGAGUCCCUCUGGUUUAAGGCAUCUAAGCUCUAGUUAGUUAGGUCAAAUUUCUUGUGUGCCUUAGUUCUACUCCUGGUUCCUAUCUAAGCUGUGAAGGUAGUAGCUGGCACUGGGUCCAGGCCCAUUAGACUCUUUUUAAACCUGAUUUUUAUAACCACAAGCACAACUCAAGUUGUUAAGAGACAGUUAUAAAAAAAAAAAAAAAAACUAAAAAAAUCAUUAAAUAAAUAAAUACAGUAUGCGCAAAUAAACGAGCACUAUCUAGUAACUGUUCUAAAACUAAAAAUAAUUUUGAUAUUUUGACAUAUACAAUUUAUUCACAUUCUUGUCAAGUGUGAGAUAAGCACAUUGAUACCAGUUUAAUGUCUGUAUGUUAAUAUGACGCUACUGUUAGCAGGCACUUAGCUUAGCUUUGUUUUUUGUAACAGAACCAAAUGAGAUAAUAUGUUAAUUAGUGAACUUUAGAGGGCACAUUUGGUUAGUGUUUGACAGAGCCAGGCUUGCUGUUUCCCUGUUUCCAAUUUUUAUGCUAAGCUAAACUAACUGACUGGUAGCAGUAGAUAUAAGAUAUUUAGAGUUACAGCCAUGAUGCGUGACUUGAUGUACUAACAGUCUACAUACACAUGGUUCAUGGGGUUUUAAAAUAUAUUCCAUGUAACAGUUUCAGAGAUUAUUGUUUAUGAUAAUGAUCUAUGUAUACAUUAUCCAAUUAUUUGUUAGAAUGUCAGGUAUUACUUCAAUUCAUCCAUCCUUCUUAUUUUUCUACUUUUGGCUGCUCCCGUUAGGGGUCGCCACAGCGAAUCAUCAGUUGCCACCCAAGUGUCUAAUUUAGAGUCGCCAAUCAGCCUAA